rnacentral:tRNA from 1 species
CAGGGGACAACAAAAUGUUAAAUAUUAAUUUGUCACCUUAGGUCGAUCGGUACCUCACAUUCUUAAUUUAUUUAAGAAUUUUAUUUCCUAAGUUUUUUCUAGGUCACACCCAUUACUUUUCCUGGGCCAUUAGCUCAGGUGGUUAGAGCGCACCCCUGAUAAGGGUGAGGUCCCUGGUUCAAGUCCAGGAUGGCCCAUAUCUCUAUGUUGGGGGUAUAGCUCAGUUGGUAGAGCGCCUGCUUUGCAAGCAGGAUGUCAGCGGUUCGGUCCGCUUACCUCCACUGAAUCACCACCUCUUCCAUAAAUUUAAAUAAGGAAAUUGUUUUGCGCCGUGAUCAUUCAUCUGAACGAAUCUAGCUUCCUAAUGAAAUCAUUAAGAUGCUGGACUCAUUGAAUUAAUUUCAUUGUUUUCAGAGAACCUUGACAACUGCAUAGAUUAUUUUUAAAGACAAUAAGCAUCUUUAAUGAUGCAGAUUUAUUAUUUUUGUAAAUGCAUUAAUAACAAUUCUAUUAAGCUGAUGCUUCA